GCUGCCAUUAUUUUGUGUUACAUAACGUUAAACGUAUAAUUGAUUAAAAAGAAAAGACCUAUGACCUAUGACGUCAUCGCCUGAGUAAACGCGCGACAGUCAAAAAAACAUUAGCAUCCCAGCACUGCUAGCAUCCCGUUUAACUCUUAGUAAAACUUUUAGUUUAAUAUAUGUAACAUUCAUCCACUCUGGAACAACUGAUCUGAUUGCGCAAUGAGCUCAAGGGUGAUAUCCGACGCUAAGGAGUUUUAUAAUAUUCUUCGGUCUCUUCAAGAUGAGGAAAGCAACGGACCAUUUGCAUAUGAGGAGAACAUCCAACUGUUAAAGACGGACGGAGACAGAAUUCCUGUGCUGAAAAUGUACCGUGGCAACGAGCCAGUCUUCAUCUAUGAAAAAGCUACUCGAGCUGAUGGUUUGAGAACUGGUGAAACUGAAUGGGUGGAGGCUUUGGAAAGCGUGUCUGCUCUUCAGGAUACUUCAAAGACACUACAAAACAGCUAAGAACGCAGAUGUGAAACCUGAGACCGACAUAUUCAACUCAUUCCUGGAAUGAGGCGAUUUGGAUUUUGUGGAGCAGCUGUGGGUUCGAAUGAGAAGGAGUGUAACUUCAUAUCAAGACAUUGUAGAUUGCCUGAAAUUGGUCAUGGAAGCUCUAAGAUAUGGGAACAUCAAACCCUGGAUAUGAAAUGAUGCUGCUUGGUAAAACAGUUCAUCAACAGAUUGAGGGCUGUUUUUUUGUUUGUUCGUUUGUUUUUUCUAAAUUCCUCUAGAUCGUCGAAGUUGCUUUGGUUAAUAGCGUCAGCUAAAUGACCUGUAAUGUUACAAAUGGCUUUUAUCCCUGGUAAAGUGUAGAUAACAUUGUUCUUUAGCUGUUCUUUAUUUAGAUGACCAAAAUGAAAUCACUGAUGUGGACAGUGAGAAUCCUGCCUUAUUCUCCACCACGGUGUGCUGCAGCUUCGUCAACUUUGCAUGAAAUCAAACUGAGCACUACUUAAUACUAAGCAGGAGUUCAUUGUCAUUUCCAGUAUUCUAAUCAGUAAUUAACAUGUUUUAAAAUGAUAGAAGAACAGGCCAGUAGUUCUGUUAAUAACAAGUUAUAUUGGUUACAUAUUUUGAAUAAGUGACUUUCAGUACGUUUUGUGACGCUGCCGUGAGUUCUCUGAAUGCAUCUUUUUUAUCACAUUUGUUUGUAUGUUCAAUACCGCAGUUGAGAGAACAACGCAAAACAAAGUACAAUCAAUCCUCAGCAAUAUAACAAAAAGCAACAUGCUGCAGAGCUAUCCACUGUUUCAGUGUCCGAUGUUAUUAAAAGGCUCAAGUAAUGUUUUUACAACACAUUCUCUUGAAAUUCACAUUAUAAUGUAUUUAUCAGGCAUGAAAAUUCCUUACAUUUCGAAGAAAUUCGCCGUUUUGAAACCAAAAUAGGUGACCUACGUGAAUCGUGUAGAUUCGAUGAGUAGGGUGGGUAUUCAUAUUCAGUGAACUGCGAACAGGUGCGCAUGUCAGAAGGAGCCGUGCAUCUGAAAAAUAUCGAAGAAAUUACACUGACAAGUGCUGCAGGUGGAAUAUCUGCGGGGUUAGGGGGCGUGGCGACGGCGGUUACAAACACGCACACGCGUGCAGGCACGUCAGUGGGCCGCAAAUUACUUUCUAUUCAGAAUGGUGGUCCCUGGGACAAAACCAGUUGAAAACCCCCUGCCCUAGAAGGGUAAUAUCCUUCUCACCUUUUUCACCCUUGACCCGUUUUCAUGCCUGAUUUAUAUUCAUGCAGGAUCCAUUAAAGAAAUGAUGCACUUGCAAUAUGUGUAUAUUAAUGUUUGUGGCUAUAAAGAUGCACAACGUCUAGUUCCGCCUCAGCAGGAACAUAAGGAAGACGGCGCUGAGCAGAAUAGAGAGUGUGCAAACAGUGGGAACAACAAUUUCAGUUACCAUCUCCAUGUGGCUGGUCAAAUGUGUGUGUUUGUAAAUUCCAGACCCUUUGACCAGCCACAUGGAGAUGGUAACUGAAAUUGUGGGCCAGGAUAUAGAGAAGCGAUAGUGGUUAAGCUUCAGCUCCUUCAUCAAGGAAACGUCAUCCUGUAAAACACACGUAAUGGAGGGAAACAUUUCAAUUUCUUUUUGACCCCCCUCUGUUCUUUCUAUUUAAUAGACACAUCACCCCACAUUGACUUUGUGAUAACCCUCACAGGAGGAAUCCCCGGUGUCAUUUCUUUGGAUUUUGCCUUUCUUAAGCCCAGUGCUGUAGUGGUAAAAUUAGAGGUGGGUAAACUCUGAAUUUUGUGAUCAUACAGACCUCGACGCGAUGCGAAGCAACGCAACACAAAGCGUUGCGACUCUUGUAAGGCUG